UACAGGGGGUGCAAACGUUGCUCGGAAUCAUUGGGCGUAAAGCGCACGUAGGCGGUUUGUUAUGUCGGAUGUGAAAGCCCUUGGCUCAACUGAGGAAGUGCAUCCGAACCUGGCAAGCUAGAGUACUAAAGAGGGUCGCGGAAUUCCCGGUGUAGAGGUGAAAUUCGUAGAUAUCGGGAGGAACACCGGUGGCGAAGGCGGCGACCUGGGUAGAUACUGACGCUGAGGUGCGAAAGCGUGGGGAGCAAACAGG
rnacentral:rRNA from 1 species